rnacentral:rRNA from 1 species
GACGAACGCUGGCGGCGUGCUUAACACAUGCAAGUCGAACGGAAAGGCCCUGCUUUUGUGGGGUGCUCGAGUUGCGAACGGGUGAGUAACACGUGAGUAACCUGCCCUUGACUUUGGGAUAACUUCAGGAAACUGGGGCUAAUACCGGCUAGGAGCUCCUGCUGCAUGGUGGGGGUUGGAAAGUUUCGGCGGUUGGGGAUGGACUCGCGGCUUAUCAGCUUGUUGGUGGGGUAGUGGCUUACCAAGGCUUUGACGGGUAGCCGGCCUGAGAGGGUGACCGGCCACAUUGGGACUGAGAUACGGCCCAGACUCCUACGGGAGGCAGAAGUGGGGAAUAUUGCACAAUGGGCGGAAGCCUGAUGCAGCAACGCCGCGUGCGGGAUGACGGCCUUCGGGUUGUAAACCGCUUUCGCCUGUGACGAAGCGUGAGUGACGGUAAUGGGUAAAGAAGCACCGGCUAACUACGUG